AGCGGCGGACGGGUGAGUAACGCGUGGGUAACCUGCCUCAUACAGGGGGAUAACAGUUAGAAAUGACUGCUAAUACCGCAUAAGACCACAGCACCGCAUGGUGCGGGGUAAAAACUCCGGUGGUAUGAGAUGGACCCGCGUCUGAUUAGGUAGUUGGUGGGGUAACGGCCUACCAAGCCGACGAUCAGUAGCCGACCUGAGAGGGUGACCGGCCACAUUGGGACUGAGACACGGCCCAA
rnacentral:rRNA from 1 species